rnacentral:rRNA from 1 species
AUCAGACAUGCAAGUCGAACGGGGUUAAUUCGGUAGCAAUACUGGGUUAACCUAGUGGCGAACGGGUGCGUAACACGUGACCAACCUGCCUAAAAGUGGGGGAUAGCUCGCCGAAAGGCGGAUUAAUACCGCAUGUGAUCGUAAGAUUAAAGCAGCAAUGCGCUUUUAGAGGGGGUCGCGGCCUAUCAGCUAGUUGGUGAGGUAACGGCUUACCAAGGCAGCGGCGGGUAGCUGGUCUGAGAGGACGACCAGCCACACUGGAACUGAGACACGGUCCAGACACCUACGGGUGGCAGCAGUCGAGAAUUUUUCUCAAUGGGGGAAACCCUGAAGGAGCGACGCCGCGUGGAGGAUGAAGGCUUUCGGGUUGUAAACUCCUGUCAUCUGGGAACAAAACUCGCAAGAGCUUGAUAGUACCAGAAGAGGAAGAGACGGCUAACUCUGUGCCAGCAGCCGCGGUAAUACAGAGGUCUCAAGCGUUGUUCGGAUUCAUUGGGCGUA